rnacentral:rRNA from 1 species
CCCCUAGAUGUUCUGGGCCGCACGCGCGCUACACUGAACAGUUCAACAAGUCUUAACCUUGGCCGAUAGGUCUGGGUAAUCUUUGAACGCUGUUCGUGAUUGGGAUAGACCUUUGCAAUUAUGGGUCUUCAACGAGGAAUUCCUAGUAAACGCAAGUCAUCAGCUUGCAUUGAUUACGUCCCUGCCCUUUGUACACACCGCCCGUCGCUCCUACCGAUUGAAUGGUCCGGUGAAGCGUUUGGACUAUGGUUUUCUGACGGUUCGCCAUUGGAUUACCGUGGGAAAUUCGUUAAACCUUAUCAUUUAGAGGAAGGAGAAGUCGUAACA